rnacentral:tRNA from 1 species
GCUGUCAUGGUAUAGUGGUUCAUUCACUGGACUCUCAAUCCAAAGUUUGAAGGUUCAAAUCCCUCUCCGGCA